rnacentral:rRNA from 1 species
ACGACUGCUAAGACUGGAUAGGAGACAAGAAGGCAUCUUCUUGUUUUUAAAAGACCUAGCAAUAGGUAUGCUUAGGGAGGAGCUUGCGUCACAUUAGUUAGUUGGUGGGGUAAAGGCCUACCAAGACUAUGAUGUGUAGCCGGGCUGAGAGGUUGAACGGCCACAUUGGGACUGAGACACGGCCCAAACUCCUACGGGAGGCAGCAGUAGGGAAUUUUCGGCAAUGGAGGAAACUCUGACCGAGCAACGCCGCGUGAACGAUGAAGUAUUUCGGUACGUAAAGUUCUUUUAUUAGGGAAGAAUAAAUGAUGGAAAAAUCAUUCUGACGGUACCUAAUGAAUAAGCCCCGGCUAACUAUGUGCCAGCAGCCGCGGUAAUACAUAGGGGGCAAGCGUUAUCCGGAAUUAUUGGGCGUAAAGGGUGCGUAGGCGGUUAAAUAAGUUUAUGGUCUAAGUGCAAUGCUCAACAUUGUGAUGCUAUAAAAACUGUUUAGCUAGAGUAAGAUAGAGGCAAGUGGAAUUCCAUGUGUAGUGGUAAAAUGCGUAAAUAUAUGGAGGAACACCAGUAGCGAAGGCGGCUUGCUGGGUCUUUACUGACGCUGAGGCACGAAAGCGUGGGGAGCAAACAGGAUUAGAUACCCUGGUAGUCCACGCCGUAAACGAUGAGUACUAAACGUUGGUUAAAACCAGUGUUGAAGUUAACACAUUAAGUACUCCGCCUGAGUAGUACGUACGCAAGUAUGAAACUUAAAGGAAUUGACGGGACUCCGCACAAGCGGUGGAUCAUGUUGUUUAAUUCGAAGGUACCCGAAAAACCUCACCAGGUCUUGACAUGCUUCUGCAAAGCUGUAGAAACACAGUGGAGGUUAUCAGUUGCGCAGGUGGUGCAUGGUUUGUCGUCAGCUCGUGUCGUGAGAUGUUGGGUUAAGUCCCGCAACGAGCGCAACCCUUAUUGUUAGUUACCAGCACGUAAUGGUGGGGACUUUAGCAAGACUGCCAGUGAUAAAUUGGAGGAAGGUGGGGACGACGUCAAAUCAUCAUGCCCCUUAUGACCUGGGCUACAAACGUGAUACAAUGGCUGUUACAAAGGGUAGCUGAAGCGCAAGUUUUUGGCGAAUCUCAAAAAAACAGUCUCAGUUCGGAUUGAAGUCUGCAACUCGACUUCAUGAAGUUGGAAUCGCUAGUAAUCGCGAAUCAGCAUGUCGCGGUGAAUACGUUCACGGGGUUUGUACACACCGC